AGGGUGAGCACUUGUCGUACUCAGCAAGUGUGAGGAGAAUAUGAAUGCAAGGGUUAAACAAGGAAAGGCUGACCGGUUGGCUGCAUUAAGCAUUUUUAGUUGGUCAAAUUUUAUUAGCACCUGAUUACUAAGGUAUAAGUAUAUACCAACCCACAAUUAAUAUAAACAUAAAUAUAAGCCAUAAGCAUAUGGCACAACCAUAACCAUAGCAUAAACCACAAUUUAAAUCCAUCUUCAAGUAUAUUACUCAUGUGAGGGUCCAGGCCGCUCUUAACCGUGAGCACGGCUGAUCGAUCAGUUUUACACUCUGCAGAGGUUGCACAUCUUUACCCACAAGUCGCGUAAAAGUUCAAAAGAACUUUAGACCCAACCACGCUUGUGCUGAUCAGGCACAAUACCACACUUUCGAGGUGUGAUUGCAUAGGGACGCUACGAGGCCUUUACAAAGAUUCGCUAGCAAUGUGGUAACCCGCUAAGGUUUCAGGUCGAAGCGAAACAUAGCAGUCCCCUAGAGGGUAUAGUGUCUUAGCCAAGCCUACUUCCCAAGAGAGCGAGUGCUAUAUCCCAUCAACGCCUCCCCUCUUGCCCUUUCGGUAAGGUUACCCCAAACUAGAGUUUCUAAUUAUUCAGCCAAGACCAGAGCCAUUUAGUCUUGUGGUAGCACUGUUUUCCUGGGUGGUCGCUCCAUGUUCCAAUUAAUGUCACACCCGGUUUUAAGGACAAAACCAAGUGCUACCUAUAUGUAUGCCAGGAUCAAGUUUCAUACAUAUAGUGACAUCAUAAGUGAAUAACAGCAACAGUAUCACGUAAAAAGAUACAAAUAAAGACUUACAAACCAUUAGAGAUAUACAGCUUAAUUAUGGAAACGGAGGCUCCAAACUUCACAGGCAGUCGACUGGGGGCUGCGUACGCCUAGAACUCAGCAUCUUCUCAACUUCAUAGCAGCUUCUUCUUCUGAGCAAUGUUGUUUAUAGCAAGGGUGAGCACUUGUCGUACUCAGCAAGUGUGAGGAGAAUAUGAAUGCAAGGUUAAACAAGGAAAGGCUGACCGGUUGACUGCAUUAAGCAUUUUUAGUUGGUCAAAUUUUAUUAGCACCUGAUUACUAAGGUAUAAGUAUAUACCAACCCACAAUUAAUAUAAACAUAAACAUAAGCCAUAAGCAUAUGGCACAACCAUAACCAUAGCAUAAUCCAUAAUUUAAAUCCAUCUUCAAGUAUAUUACUCAUGUGAGGGUCCAGGCCGCUCUUAACCGUGAGCACGGCUGAUCGAUCAGUUUUACACUCUGCAGAGGUUGCACAUCUUUACCCACAAGUCGCGUAAAAGUUCAAAAGAACUUUAGACCCAACCACGCUUGUGCUGAUCAGGCACAAUACCACACUUCCGAGGUGUGAUUGCAUAGGGACGCUACGAGGCCUUUACAAAGAUUCGCUAGCAAUGUGGUAACCCGCUAAGGUUUCAGGUCGAAGCGAAACAUAGCAGUCCCCUAGAGGGUAUAGUGUCUUAGCCAAGCCUACUUCCCAAGAGAGCGAGUGCUAUAUCCCAUCAACGCCUCCCCUCUUGCCCUUUCGGUAAGGUUACCCCAAACUAGAGUUUCUAAUUAUUCAGCCAAGACCAGAGCCAUUUAGUCUUGUGGUAGCACUGUUUUCCUGGGUGGUUCUCCAUGUUCCAAUUAAUCACAGUGAUCUUGUAUUAAAGAAGGUGUAGCAUAAAUAAAAUAGGUUCAUCAUCUUUGUUCAUUAGAACCACCAUAAUCCAAGUAUAGCAGCUAAGCUUGUUCAUUAGAACCACCAUAAUCCAAGUAUAGCAGCUAAGCAUAGCUACCCAACAGAAAGGUAAACCCCAGGUUGGCAAGGAAUAAUCAUAAAAACUAGGCAAACCUUAAUAGGACCCAUCAAAUUUAAUGCAAGCAUAUGCAAUAGUGAUUAAAUAAAGUUAUUGGGACAAAAGCACAAGG
rnacentral:lncRNA from 1 species